rnacentral:rRNA from 1 species
GAUGAACGCUGGCGGCGUGCUUAACACAUGCAAGUCGAACGGAAAGGCCACAGCUUGCUGUGGUACUCGAGUGGCGAACGGGUGAGUAACACGUGGGUGAUCUGCCCUGUACUUCGGGAUAAGCUUGGGAAACUGGGUCUAAUACCGGAUAGGAAUCACAUGUGGGUGUGUGGUUGGAAAGCUUUUGCGGUAUGGGAUGAGCUCGCGGCCUAUCAGCUUGUUGGUGGGGUAAUGGCCUACCAAGGCGUCGACGGGUAGCCGGCCUGAGAGGGUGUACGGCCACAUUGGGACUGAGAUACGGCCCAGACUCCCACGGGAGGCAGCAGUGGGGAAUAUUGCACAAUGGGCGCAAGCCUGAUGCAGCGACGCCGCGUGGGGGAUGACGGCCUUCGGGUUGUAAACUCCUUUCGUCAGGGACGAAGCGAAAGUGACGGUACCUGGAUAAGAAGCACCGGCUAACUACGUG